AAGCUCCACUUCUAAUUUAGUUCUCUUAUUAUUUCCACCACAGCUACAGUUACUUCCUCCACUGAACUCUUAACUCCCUCAGAGUCAUCCAAUGAGGGAUGGAAUCAAUGACUUCCAAACUCCUGUAGUGCACUGAAGACUGUGAGAUGAUGGCAUCGUUUUUCUUAAAGUUGAAUCAGCAUACUCAAGUGAAAAUAUUCAUAGGAGAACAAGUACAAUUAAAAGAAUUUCUUUACCCAAUUUAUUUUCUUUUCACUCAGGAUUAUAAUUUUUCUCUUAAGUGUAAUUCAUCUAAAAAUAUAAAAUUAUAAUUGUACCUUCUUACUUUGUAAUAAAAAAUAUUUUUUCACCGACCAUGAAAU
rnacentral:lncRNA from 10 species